UACGGAGGGCGCGAGCGUUAAUCGGAAUUACUGGGCGUAAAGCGCGCGUAGGCUGUUGUGUAAGUUGGGGGUGAGAUCCCACGGCUCAACCGUGGAACAGCCCUUGAUACUGCGCGACUUGAAUCCGGGAGAGGGUGGCGGAAUUCCAGGUGUAGGAGUGAAAUCCGUAGAUAUCUGGAGGAACAUCAGUGGCGAAGGCGGCCACCUGGACCGGUAUUGACGCUGAGGCGCGAAAGCGUGGGGAGCAAACAGG
rnacentral:rRNA from 1 species